rnacentral:sRNA from 1 species
GAUGAAGUAUUGAAAGCAGUGCCUCUGCAGAACUAUUUUUUAGGCAGGAGCAAAGCAAACGAGAAUGUUUGGAGGCAUCUAGUUUCUAGGAAAAUGAAUGGAGCCCAAUUCUUUUUUUUUCUUCUAUUUUGCUGCUUUUUCUCACUGGAAAAUAGAGCCCAAUUUUAUAGUCCGUUCUUCUCCAGAAAUUGAAUUAUGGUGAUGAGUACUUGUUUCUGGAUUGUUUGGCCUAGGAUGAACUAUUGACAAAUACCUUGUUAACUUGAAUUGUAUGCACUUGAAUAUGGGCUUUUAGAUGUUGUCUCCAGUUGUGGAGGAUCCUGUCGAGAGUGGAUCAUUUAUGAAUCGAGAAUCCCUGGGAAAUUAUCUUUGUUUGCAGCAGAAUGGGCAUCAUCAGUGCUUGGGUUCAACCUGUUAAACUACUACUGUUACUACUAAAAAUCUCAGGGUUUUAUCUGAUGUUUGGGGGUAGUGGUUUUCCUAUGUGUAGUGUUGGUAUUAUAUCAAAGCCUUUUUCUCGAUAUUUUUAUGUAUUAAGGAUGCUUUGAAAUGCCUAAAUCCUUAAUGGCUGUGGGUGUCUUCCAAUAGUUGUCCUGUGAAAAAGGAUUGGUUAGACAGAUACCAUCAGGCACUGUACUGAGAGUGACCACUAGCUUGUUUUUCUAAUGCGUUUACUUACAGCUUUGUAAUGAUAGGAAUUUCUUAGUAAACCAGUAUAAAGUUUUAUCAUUUAUCUGAAUUAGUAAUUUUGAUGCUGUAUGUAAUGCUUAUUGUUCAAAAAGAUAAGUAAUACAGAUUCAAAUAAGAUACUAAUAAAAUCAUUGAUUUCAUGCAUCUCUCCCCCCAACUCCCCAGAAACCUGUGAAGGUCGAAACAGCUGCGUUUCCUGUUUUAAUGUUAGCCUUGUUAAUACUACCUGCUUUUGGAUAGAAUGUAAAGAUGAGAGCUAUUGUUCACAUAACUCAACAGUUAGUGAUUGUCAAGUGGGGAACACGACAGACUUCUGUUCCGUUUCCACGGCCACUCCAGUGCCAACAGCCAAUUCUACAGCUAAACCCACAGUUCAGCCCUCCCCUUCUACAACUUCCAAGACAGUUACUACAUCAGGUACAACAAAUAACACUGUGACUCCAACCUCACAACCUGUGCGAAAGUCUACCUUUGAUGCAGCCAGUUUCAUUGGAGGAAUUGUCCUGGUCUUGGGUGUGCAGGCUGUAAUUUUCUUUCUUUAUAAAUUCUGCAAAUCUAAAGAACGAAAUUACCACACUCUGUAAACAGACCCAUUGAAUUAAUAAGGACUGGUGAUUCAUUUGUGUAACUCACUGAAACCAAAAUACUAUCUUUUAAGAUGUCCCACAUGGAAGACGCUAUUCCAGGAUCUUUAAAUUUCCAUGGAUGCAUAUAGGAUGUUUGGGAGCAUCAUCCGUGAAGAAAAAAUCAAUUAAAUCAUUGUGUUCAACAGGAAUAUUUAAAAUAUUCUGCAUGAAUCCUGUGGCUGUCUUAUUUUAAAUAGCUGCUGCUGUGGGAUUAUAUUUUUUUUUCCUUAACAUGCCAAAUAUAACUUUCUGAAAGUGAUGGAAAAUGUUGUCUUGUGCAGACAACAUCAUGGCUCUUGGCAGUUUAAAUUUAGUAAUUUUAAUUUAGUGAACAGAAUUAAGAAGAACGUGCCAAAUGAGAAUCAAUUAGGUGGAUUUUUGGCUGUCAUUUCAAAAGUGGAAUAAAUUUAUUAAUUUAGUAGUACUAAAUGGUAUCCUUAGAUUAAAAUUUUGUGCUUGAUAACAGCUGUUUUUUCUACAUUAGAAAUAAGAUGCCACACAAGGAACUACAUUCCAGAUUUAAAGAAAUGAAAGGAUACCAUUAGUGUGUAUAACAGAUUAUUGUUCAUACUUGUAAAGCACCUUAUGUCAUUGAGAAUAUAAAGAACAGUGCCUUAGAAGACAGUGAAAGGUAAGCUCUAGCUUAAUGUCUAUGAUUUGUUCUUUGACAUUAAGGAAGGUAAGGAUUGGUCAGAGGAUGUAACUUGAUGUGAGCAGUAGUAAACCUGUUUUAGAUAUCAUACUGUUAAUAUUUUAUUGAAAAUUUAUUUCAGAGCGGAGAAACUUAAGCUAAAGUCUGUUAUACAGAAUUGAAAGCCUUCGUAUCUUGAACCUCCCAACAUUUUUCUUAUGGCUGUUGAAAAGUAUAGAGCUAAAUUGAUUUAAUUACACUUUCCUUUGUACUUUAAAAAAAAGUAUGCUAGCACUAUUGUACCUUGAAAGGAUUUCCACCAGACUGUCUUGAGUAGUGACUUCUUUGGUGAGGCAAGAAGGAUAUACAUUAUUUUAGAAUCAUUUACUAUUUAAAUGAGACAAUCAUAUUAUUUUAGAAUCAUUUAUUUAAAAUAUGAGACAAUCAUUUUAAGUUUUAAGAUAACAGAAGUGACCAAUGUAAUUUCACAACACCUAAGGAUUUUUUGGUUGAUCAGGUUAAUGUAGAUUUUUACUGAUUGUCCUGGAUGAAUAGACUGUGCUUUUUCUUUUUCUCUCCCUUCCUUCUUGGUUUCCCAUAGUAUAAUAAGCAUGCAUACUUUAACUUCUAUAGUUUUCUCCUUUAGAGGGUCUUCUUCAGUUUUAGAGGUUUACUUCUCCCUUGCCUUUGACUCAUUGGACUAGUGCAGAGGCUUUAAGUAGUUUAAAAUAGGCUUUUGCUUUUCUAGGUCAUUAACGUUUUUUAUUUAGUUUUUUUAGCCAAUAGUGGCUGAGUUUCGCACUUGAUUUUCAAUAUUUUAUAGUAAGAAAUGACAAACUGCUUUGGUUCAUUUCAUAAACUGAAACUCUGCAUUUAGAUAACUAUUAAAGGUUGUUAAGAUGAA